GUUCAGAGGAAGCGGACGUCUGGCCAAGGCGGAGGUGACAGUGUCCAGGAGCAAGCUGGGGUGCCAUCUGAUUUAACAGUUGGAGCUCCAUUGAAUUUGUCUUCACCAGUGAAAGUAAAGACACACAAUGUAUGGAUAAUUGGUGACUCACUCAUCAGAGGAGCACAACAGGCAGCUUAUUUACGUCCCGAUGAAGAUUUGGGCCUAGGAUAUCACCCAUCGUCGUGGCUGGAGAUAGCUGAAACAUUUGAGUUUGCAACCAGAUGCCUUGAAUCCCAAUGACGAGCAAAGCACAAAUACAAAUAGACUUUUUAAACAUUUGUCGCCGUUGUCGGGACAAAAAAAUUGUGAUUCAGCGUUUUUUAAUAUCAUAAAACUCUUGCGUUCGUUGACGGGGCAAGAAACUACGUCGAUUCAUAUUGACACUAGUAAUCUUAAUCCAGCCAUGACAAUUUUGUGCCAAUCCUUAAUAAAAUAAAAAUAUAUAAAACAUU